CUGUCGCCAAGCGGUAAGGCAACGGACUUUGACUCCGUCAUUCGUAGGUUCGAAUCCUGCCAGC
rnacentral:tRNA from 1 species